rnacentral:miRNA from 1 species
UCUCGUUGUCUGUUCGACCUU